rnacentral:rRNA from 1 species
GUAGUCUGCAAUCCGACUACAUGAAGCUGGAAUCGCUAGUAAUCGCGGAUCAGAAUGCCGCGGUGAAUACGUUCCCGGGUCUUGUACACACCGCCCGUCACACCAUGGGAGUCGAAAAUGCCCGAAGUCUGUGACCCAACCUUAGGGAGGGAGCAGCCGAAGGCAGGUCGGAUGACUGGGGUGAAGUCGUAACAAGGUAGC